rnacentral:rRNA from 1 species
UACGUAGGGGCCUAGCGUUGUCCGGAUUUAUUGGGCGUAAAGAGCGUGUAGGCGGCCAGGUAGGUCUGCUGUGAAAACUCGAGGCUUAACCUCGAGCUGUCGGCGGAAACCAUCUGGCUAGAGUCCGGAAGAGGAGAAUGGAAUUCCCGGUGUAGCGGUGAAAUGCGCAGAUAUCGGGAAGAACACCCGUGGCGAAGGCGGUUCUCUGGGACGGUACUGACGCUGAGACGCGAAAGCGUGGGGAGCGAACAGG